rnacentral:rRNA from 1 species
UACAGCGGUCCCGAGCGUUGUUCGGAUUCACUGGGCGUAAAGGGUGCGUAGGUGGUGCGGUAAGUCGGAUGUGAAAUCUCCAAGCUCAACUUGGAAACUGCAUUGGAAACUACCUUGCUAGAGGAUUUGAGGGGGGAUUGGAAUACUUGGUGUAGCAGUGAAAUGCGUAGAUAUCAAGUGGAACACCAGUGGCGAAGGCGAAUCCCUGGAAAAUACCUGACACUGAGGCACGAAAGCUAGGGGAGCAAACAGG